rnacentral:rRNA from 1 species
AGUGAACGCUGGCGGUAGGCCUAACACUUGCAAGUCGAACGGCAGCACAGUAAGAGCUUGCUCUUACGGGUGGCGAGUGGCGGACGGGUGAGGAAUACAUCGGAAUCUACUUUUUCGUGGGGGAUAACGUAGGGAAACUUACGUUAAUACCGCAUACGACCUACGGGUGAAAGCAGGGGAUCUUCGGACCUUGCGCGAUUGAAUGAGCCGAUGUCGGAUUAGCUAGUUGGCGGGGUAAAGGCCCACCAAGGCGACGAUCCGUAGCUGGUCUGAGAGGAUGAUCAGCCACACUGGAACUGAGACACGGUCCAGACUCCUACGGGAGGCAGCAGUGGGGAAUAUUGGACAAUGGGCGCAAGCCUGAUCCAGCCAUACCGCGUGGGUGAAGAAGGCCUUCGGGUUGUAAAGCCCUUUUGUUGGGAAAGAAAAGCAGCAGGUUAAUACCCCGCUGUUCUGACGGUACCCAAAGAAUAAGCACCGGCUAACUUCGUG